rnacentral:RNase_P_RNA from 1 species
AGUUGACUGGGCAAUCGCUGUCUGAGUACGUGCGCUACGGCAUACGGCUCGGAGGGAGGAAAGUCCGGGCUCUACAGGACAAGGUGCCAGGUAACGCCUGGGAGGCGUGAGCCUACGACCAGUGCAACAGAAAACAUACCGCCGAUGGCCGCUUGCGGCUCAGGUAAGGGUGAAAAGGUGCGGUAAGAGCGCACCGCGUUGCUAGUAAUAGUCAACGGCAUUGUAAACUCCACCUAGAGCAAGAUCGAAUAGGUUCCCAUAUGGUGUGGUCCGCACUCGGGAGCGGGUUGAUCGCUUGAGCCUACGCGCGAGUGUAGGCCUAGAUGAAUGAUUGCUACUCUUUAGAGUACAGAACCCGGCUUACAGGUCAACUC